AACAAUUGCCUUGACAUCAUCUCUCUGUAUAGCCUGGUCAAAACUCUCCUUUAAACUAUGCAAUACUAGAGAGACAGAGAGAUAAAUGAGCAAUAUAUGAUCAUUUUAAGUAAUAGAAAGUAACCUACGGAAGGAACACUUAGAAAAGGAGCACUUAGGUAGUGCUGGGGAACAAAAGAUACAUCAAGAGGGUUACCUUGGAAUUAUUCAAAUAUAUUCAGCAUCCACUUCCUCCUCCGUAAUUCUUACAAGGAAAAAUAGCGAAGAAAAAAAAGAAAGGGCUUGAGAAGGUAAAAAAAUAUGAAAGAAACCUAACCUGUUUAAGUGCAGGGCAUCAGCAGAGGAUAAAAAAUAUUGAAGAAACCAUGAAUGAAAAUAGAUUUAGUAGUACUAUUGCAAAUUGAAGCCACUGAUGAACUAAAUAUAAUCAUGUGAAACUUCAAAUUCUCGAUGAGAAUUACAAUGGAUCAAAGUGCAAGGAGUGUGUGUGGAACAAUAAUUGAAUUAUAAAUAGAAUUACUGAACAGAAAUAUCUAAAUCAAAAUAGAAUAACAUUUGUUGACAUGUAUAUGAAUGACUCAAUAGAAACAAAAUUGUAUCCACCUUAAUAUUUGAGAGGAAUAAGCUUAAAUCAAUCUUCCUAAAUACAUAGCACAUCUUCAAUAGCUUGUCAUAUCAGUCCAGAAGGGUUGAUGAUGGUGAUGAUGUCAACCCCAUCAGCUCCAACCUCCAUGAGCAUGAGCCCUUUGCUAUCCAUUAAUAUUAUUACGCAAUGGAGUGAGAAUCGAAGGAUGUGAUUGAAUAAUUAGAAGGAAGAGGAGGAUCGUGAACGUUCUGUCUGAUGCGUGAUGCAUUCCAGAAAGGGUUAGGGUUUGUGUAGAUGACAUCUUAAUUUUGCUUUCGAAAAAAUGUUGGAAAAAAAUCAUCAUAUAUAUCAUGUCUCAUUCUCCCGAUACGAAGCUCAAUAUUUUCUUUUUGUACUUCGGAAAGAUAAAUUGCACCUGUCAGAAAUCGAUCAUUGAACCUCCCCUUACCCAACCCAUAUGUCCCAACUCCUACCACUUGAGCUAUCAUACGGGGACGAAACUCAAUAUAUUCCUAUAAAAACAAAGAUGAGAAAGUCGCAACUUAAACAAACAUUCCAUGAUUCGCGAAACAUUCG
rnacentral:lncRNA from 1 species